rnacentral:lncRNA from 1 species
UGGUGUGUGGAGUUUAUUUUGUGCACUGAAAGCAUAAUAGGUGUCCCAUGGGAUGGGACGCCCCUUCCUAGCCUUUACCCAAUUUAUUCCAUGCAAAUUCAAUCUUGGGCAUGGACAUUUGGUUAGUUAUCAGAGGUUUGGAUGAUUAGAUAAGUUUAAAAUCAAGAUAAACUUGAUCUAACCUAGCCACCCAUGUUAACCCAUGCACCACUUGG